rnacentral:rRNA from 1 species
CAGGCCUAACACAUGCAAGUCGAACGCCCCGCAAGGGGAGCGGCAGACGGGUGAGUAACACGUGGGAACGUACCCUUUGGUUCGGAACAACCCUGGGAAACUAGGGCUAAUACCGGAUACGCGCGAGAGCGGAAAGGUUUACCGCCGAAGGAUCGGCCCGCGUCUGAUUAGCUAGUUGGUGAGGUAACGGCUCACCAAGGCGACGAUCAGUAGCUGGUCUGAGAGGAUGAUCAGCCACACUGGGACUGAGACACGGCCCAGACUCCUACGGGAGGCAGCAGUGGGGAAUAUUGGACAAUGGGCGCAAGCCUGAUCCAGCAAUGCCGCGUGAGUGAUGAAGGCCUUCGGGUUGUAAAGCUCUUUUACCCGGGAUGAUAAUGACAGUACCGGGAGAAUAAGCUCCGGCUAACUCCGUGCCAGCAGCCGCGGUAAU